AAGUCGUAACAAGGUCUCCGUUGGUGAACCAGCGGGAGGGAUCAUUACCGAGUUUACAACUCCCAAACCCCUGUGAACCAUACCUAUCGUUGCUUCGGCGGGACCGCCCCGGGACUCGCUCCCGGAACCAGGCGCCCGCCGGGGACACCAAACUCUUGUCUUUUUCAGUAUCUUCUGAGUGGCAUUAUAAAUGAAUCAAAACUUUCAACAACGGAUCUCUUGGUUCUGGCAUCGAUGAAGAACGCAGCGAAAUGCGAUAAGUAAUGUGAAUUGCAGAAUUCAGUGAAUCAUCGAAUCUUUGAACGCACAUUGCGCCCGCCAGUACUCUGGCGGGCAUGCCUGUUCGAGCGUCAUUUCAACCCUCAGGCCCCCCGGGCCUGGUGUUGGGGAUCGGCCGCCGGCGCCUCACCGCGCCGGGCCGUCCCCCAAAUGCAGUGGCGGUCACGCUGCGGCAUCCCCUGCGUAGUAGCACAACUCGCACCGGAUCGCAGCGCGGCCACGCCGUAAAACAACCCAACUCUGAAAUGUUGACCUCGGAUCAGGUAGGGAUACCCGCUGAACUUAA
rnacentral:rRNA from 1 species